CUGAUUCAGCCCAGCUGCAACCACUCACUUCAUCUUCACCGCCUGCCUACUUAAGGAGCUCUUGGACCAGUAUUCAUCGCCAGUCCGUUGCCCCUGAUGGAAACCCCAAGCCACGAGUGGUUGCCUGAAUCAGCCAUUGUCUGGAAAACUCAUCUGGUCUGUUCCAUCCAACCUCACCACGAGCCUCUGCCGAACCGCCAACUUCUCGGGUCUCCUCCUACGCUGCUGACUCCGGACCCUAAGGACAAAUCCACCAGUGACGCCACAGGAAUCUGCCUCUCGCUCUCCGGACCUCCAGGAACUGUGCUCUCCCCUUCUGACCUGAUUAUUAAAUCCGCUUAAUCGCCA